rnacentral:rRNA from 1 species
UGUAAGCGUAUACCAAAGUUGUUGCAGUUAAAACGCUCGUAGUCGGAAUUUGGCAGUUCCGGAUGUGUGCACGUCGUGUGCGCACUUCGCGGGGAUUGCUUUUGUGGUCUUGCGUAGGAUGAGGCACUUUUAUUAGUGAACGUCCUCACGCAACCACUUUUUACUGUGAGAAAAUCAGAGUGCUCAAAGCAGGCAUUUGCCGUGAAUGUAUUAGCAUGGAAUAAUAGAAUAGGACUUGGUUCUAUUUUGUUGGUUUGUUGGGACUGAGUAAUGAUUAAGAGGGACAGUUGGAGGCAUUUGUAUUUCGGUGCUAGAGGUGAAAUUCUUAGAUUACCGAAAGACAAACUGCUGCGAAAGCGUCUGCCAAGGAUGUUUUCAUUGA